AACAGGGAUUGUCUUAGUAACGGCGAGUGAAGCGGCAAAAGCUCAAAUUUGAAAUCUGGCACCUUCGGUGUCCGAGUUGUAAUUUGAAGAAGGUAACUUUGGGAUUGGCUCUUGUCUAAGUUCCUUGGAACAGGACGUCACAGAGGGUGAGAAUCCCGUGCGAUGAGAUGACCAAUCCUAUGUAAAGUGCUUUCGAAGAGUCGAGUUGUUUGGGAAUGCAGCUCUAAGUGGGUGGUAAAUUCCAUCUAAAGCUAAAUAUUGGCGAGAGACCGAUAGCGAACAAGUACAGUGAUGGAAAGAUGAAAAGAACUUUGAAAAGAGAGUGAAAAAGUACGUGAAAUUGUUGAAAGGGAAGGGCUUGAGAUCAGACUUGGUAUUUUGCAUUCCUUACCUUCGUGGUGGGGUUCCUUGCAGUUUACUGGGCCAGCAUCGGUUUGGAUGGUGGGAUAAUGACAUUGGAAUGUGGCUCUGCUUCGGUAGAGUGUUAUAGCCAGUGUUGAUACCGCCUGUCUAGACCGAGGACUGCGUCUUUGACUAGGAUGCUGGCAUAAUGA
rnacentral:rRNA from 1 species